rnacentral:rRNA from 1 species
GUCGAGGGGCAGCAUAUAGAUUGCUUGCAAUUUAUGAUGGCGACCGGCGCACGGGUGAGUAACGCGUAUCCAACCUACCCAUUACUAGGGAAUAACCCAGCGAAAGUUGGCCUAAUGCCCUAUGUAGUCGUUUGAUCGCCUGAGAUUUCGACGAAAGAUUUAUCGGUAUUGGAUGGGGAUGCGUCUGAUUAGCUUGUUGGCGGGGUAAAGGCCCACCAAGGCAACGAUCAGUAGGGGUUCUGAGAGGAAGGUCCCCCACAUUGGAACUGAGACACGGUCCAAACUCCUACGGGAGGCAGCAGUGAGGAAUAUUGGUCAAUGGGCGAGAGCCUGAACCAGCCAAGUAGCGUGCAGGAUGACGGCCCUAUGGGUUGUAAACUGCUUUUAUAUGGGAAUAAAGUGAGGGACGUGUCCCUUAUUGCAUGUACCAUACGAAUAAGGACCGGCUAAUUCCGUGCCAGCAGCCGCGGUAAUACGGAAGGUCCAGGCGUUAUCCGGAUUUAUUGGGUUUAAAGGGAGCGUAGGCUGUUUGUUAAGCGUGUUGUGAAAUGUAGGAGCUCAACUUUUAGAUUGCAGCGCGAACUGGCAGACUUGAGUGCGCACAACGUAGGCGGAAUUCAUGGUGUAGCGGUGAAAUGCUUAGAUAUCAUGACGAACUCCGAUUGCGAAGGCAGCUUACGGGAGCGCAACUGACGCUAAAGCU